rnacentral:rRNA from 1 species
UACGGAGGAUGCGAGCGUUAUCCGGAUUUAUUGGGUUUAAAGGGUGCGCAGGCGGCGAGUUAAGUCAGCGGUAAAAUUUCGGGGCUCAACCCCGGCAAGCCGUUGAAACUGGCUUGCUAGAGUGGGCGAGAAGUAUGCGGAAUGCGUGGUGUAGCGGUGAAAUGCAUAGAUAUCACGCAGAACUCCGAUUGCGAAGGCAGCAUACCGGCGCCCAACUGACGCUCAGGCACGAAAGCGUGGGUAUCGAACAGG